AUGCUUGCUUUGGCAGCACAUAUACUAAAAUUGUAACAACGCAGAGAAGAUUAACAUGGCCCCAUGCAAAGAUGACAUGCAAACUUGUGAAGUGUCCCAUAUUUUU
ensembl:snRNA U6 U6 spliceosomal RNA